CACUGUGGCACCAGCUGAUAAUGGAGAUACUGAGGCACCAGCUAACCAUAGUACCACUGUGGCACCAGCUGAUAAUGGAGAUAUUGAGGCACCAGCUAACCAUAGUACCACUGUGGCACCAGCUGAUAAUGGAGAUACUGAGGCACCAGCUAACCAUAGUACCACUGUGGCACCAGCAAAUAAUGGAAAUACUGAGGCAACAGCUACCCGUAGUACCACUGUGGCACCAGCUAAUAAUGGAAAUACUGAGGCACCAGCUAACCAUAGUACCACUGUGGCACCAGCAAAUAAUGGAAAUACUGGGGCACCAGCUAACCGUAGUACCACUGUGGCACCAGCUAAUAAUGGAAAUAAUGGGGCAACAGCUAACCGUAGUACCACUGUGGCACCAGCUAAUAAUGGAAAUACUGGGGCAACAGCUACCCGUAGUACCACUGUGGCACCAGCUGAUAAUGGAAAAACUAUGGCACCAGUGACCACUGUCCCUGCAAAUGCACUGUCCGACUACACCACCGCUUCUUCUGCUUAUCCAGUCACAGCCACACAGCCAUUCUUGCCAGCUCUGCUUGUCACCAUGUGCAUGCUGGCUUUUCCUCCAGUGUAAUUAACUGACUCCCACUACGCCUAAAACAGGUGGAACUUCCCAAAUGAUGCCCAUCGCUUUCUAAAUUCAGUAAUUUAAACUCAACAUUUAUCAUGCACAGAUUUUAGUUUAGCAGAAACUAUAAAGUGCUAUUUAAGUUUCUUUUUCAAUGCCAGUUAACAAAUUUGCAACCAUAUGUGACUGUUAUACUGAGAUGGGAAUGUCAAAUGCUUUGAUUUAGUAGUACUCAAUAUUUCUUCUGCUUUGACUAUUUGAGCUGCUGUAACCAGUACAUUUCUCCACUAUGAGAUCAAUAAAGUCAAUAAAUAAACAAGUUUUUUCACAAAACUGUUAGAGUUGUUCUCUGACAUAGAUGAAAUGCAAAAUGUGUUUUAAUGUGACAGAAAUCUUCUUCGAAAGUUGCAAUUUAAGAAAGCGUAAAGCAUUCCGGUUUCAAGGUCUGGCUACCUUUACUGUUUCAUCUGUGCAUUUUUUUUCAUGUGAAUUUUGAAAUCUUAAAAAAAAUGAUCUUUUAUCUAAAUUUUUUUCUUUUAACAUUAUCUUCCUGUAGUCUUAGUUGCGAUGUGUGUUCAUACUUUAUCUAUCACUAAAUGAUUAAGUCUCUACUGGCUGAUGUGUUAGUGAAAGAGAGAAGCAAUAAUGCUAUACAAAACAAUGCUGAAGGUCAUUUAAUAUCUGCAGGAAUUCAAAUAAUGAUGUUUUGUUUUUAAUAGAAGGUUGUAUCUCUAUUUAUUUGUGUAGCAGUUGAAU